GGUUUCGUGGUGUAGUUGGUUAUCACGUCAGUCUAACAUAUAUCUACAAAUAUAUAUAACACUGAAGGUCUCCGGUUCAAGUCCGGGCGAAAUCA